AUGUGGCUCAGUGGCAGAGCACUUGCCUAGCAUGUGUAAGGACCUGGGUUCUAUUCCCAGCAU
rnacentral:tRNA from 1 species